CCCUCAGCCUUUGGAAGGGUUGUGGCCCUGCCCACACUUCGAUUUCAAACUUCUGGCCUCUGGAACUAUGAGCUAGCAGAUUUCUGUUGUCAAAGCCAUCUAAACUUGGGCUGCACACGAGGCAGCCUGGUGGAAAUGCCAGGCCUAGCGGGUACUAUCAGACAGGAGUGAUCUGUCUCAGCAGCUGAAACCCUGCCAGGCCUGCUUGCCUUGUGUUAGAAGUUUGCCCUUGGCCUCAGAGCUGUCAGCGAGGCCUGCCAUGGUUCUGGCCUCUCCUUCACAGAAGGGCAGGGGCUACCUGGCCCUGGAGAUUGUCAGGAGCAGGCAUGUCCCAGGGCACACAGCUUGGGCAGAGCGAAGAGAGGGGCAUGAUGAGGAGACACCAGGGCCAGUCGUUCCCCAGCGGAGUGCGGGCACUGGCAGAGGCCAGGUGGCCUGAGUCCCAGCUUCAGGAGAGCGCUGGGCCCACAGCCUGAAGGAGCCCAGCGUUUAGGAGUCCCUGCAGCUCCUCCCAGGCUAGGCUAGAAGCACGUCACCAGCCUCAUGAUUUGGAAUCUGAGGUCGACCUUCCAGAGCUCUGCAUCUGGGGAGAACAGUGUGGAGGCCCACCAUCUUCUACCACAGGUGACAUCCACCUGUGGCCCCAGGCGUGUCCCCAGGAUCACCAUCACAGGUGGCAUCUACCCAGUUUCUCCAUCGUGUCUCCACCGGUGUUCACCAUUUGCCAGCGCCACCAGGCCCCACCCCAACACUGUGCACCGGCAUGUCUGCAGCUGGGGCUGAACUUCUGUGCUUUUUGCAAAGCGAAGGUUUAUGUCAGCCCUGCGCACAGAAGGUCUCGGCACGUACUUCC